ACAGUGGAAGUUUUGCUGCCCUGAUCCCUGCCUGGAAGUUCAGGGACGUGAGAAGCAUGGGAAGACUGACUGGCAGUGAAGAUUAAGGCAAAGAACCCAAUAAUGCACAGCAAGAAGUCCAAAAGAAAGAAGAUUAAACUGUAAUGUAAUGCGAUAAAAGAAGAAGUCCACAUCAUAACAUCAUGGACAAAAGAGAAGAAAAACUACAUAUCCCAGGGGACCUCAUGGUCAGAGAAGGAAGAUACAUCACGGAAGAUCCUUCUCUACGGACCGUUUGCUGACGGACUUCCCUGGGCCUGCUACCUGAGACCUGCUGCUUCCUCCCUGACCUGCACCCUCUUGUUGCCCAAGACCGGCCUCACUGCUCCUGCCCUUCGGCCUCGGACCGUCGGAACAUCGUGCAACAGGACUACUGCUGGAUCCUGGUGUGACCAGGCUGAUCUCAUGCUGGGCUCACGAUUUGAUUCUUCUUCCUCCUGUUCUUCAUAUAUUCUCCUGUUCUCAUGGCUGGGAGUGUACAAGAAGCUAGGAAGAGACACAGCCAGGAUAGCUGAUCAUAACUGUACAAAGGAAUAUUCCAUACCAUGUGACACUGCCCUCAGCUGUAGAAAAACGUCAUAUAACAGGCACCAGAAGCUAUACAUUUGGACUCCUCUGCAACUUGCGCAGAAAAGAAGGUGCUGAAUUUCCUAUGUCUUAAAAUGGUCAUGCACUGUCCUGGUUUCUGCUAUGACAGUAUUUUCUGACUUUUUUUCUUUUUUUUCCGAUUCUCUUUUCUUCCCUGUUCCACUGAGGGCAGGGGAGAUGAGCAAACAGCUUUAUGGUGCUUCACCGCCUGCUGUGUUAAACCAUAACAUGCAUCUUUGAUGACUUAUGGGUAUCUUAUUUACUUAUAACAUAUUUUACCUAAAAGGUGAGGAAUAA
ensembl:lncRNA